rnacentral:lncRNA from 1 species
UUAGAUCUCGUUUCCAAAUCUAAUCUGGAUCCUUCUUUCUUAUGACUUUUUAAUGGCUACCUGUUGCUCAGUUGACUAGUGUGUUUGGUGGAUGCGCGCUCAUGGACUGUUCGAUGCGCCAGCUCAAUUAAUGAGCUUAUAUCUAACGCCUCACGUUUUUCCUUUUUUUUUUCUGAUUUUAAUUUCCAUUUUAUUUCUUUUAUUCUAUUUCAUUUC